GAUUGCAAAGGAAGGAAGGGGAAAAGGAGGUCUGUAGCCAUCAAACCUCAAGAGAAGAGAUGUUUCAAGUACAAUUCCAUUAGACAUCUUGCAUGUGCAUGUUGAAAAAACAACAAAGGAUUAUGAAGAAAGGACGAGGCUUAAGAAGUAUACUCUCCAUGUGGUACAUGUAAGAAGUCCAAUUAUUUGGCAAAAAUCAUUCCGAUAUAUGUGCGGGCCUAUAGAACUAGAGACAUGGAACAGAAAUAGCAGCGGAAGUAAAGUGGAACACAGACUUAGAUGCGAUAAUGGAAGCAGGAAAGUCUACCAGUCGAGAAUUCAAGAAUUGGUACAGACAGAAAGUAAUUAUACUGGAUUAUACGACACUGUAUACACCUCAACUGAAUGGAAGGGCUUAAUCGAAUAUUACUGAAUAAAACAC
rnacentral:lncRNA from 1 species